UAUCCGUUAUGGAAAAUUCAUCACUAAUAACUAUGAUAUUUAUAAUAUUAUAGAAAUGGUGUGCAAUUUUUCCAUAUAAGGACAUUUGUAAUCUGUUAAUGUAAUAAAUAUUUAUUAAAAGAUCUUAUACAUAAGUUUAUUCAAAUUAGUUAUUUUCGGAUUUCUAACAUAGAAUAAAUGUAUUUGAUUUAAUAAAUCAUUGACAGAUUUAAUUAUAAUAUAGUGCUUAAAUUUUGAAAGAAAUUUUACAAUAAUAUGAUAAUUCAAUUUGUUAUAUUUAUUGUAUGCACUUAUAUGAUUAACAAUGCGAUAGAUUCAGGAUACCUUCGGGACCCGUCUUGAAACACGGACCAAGGAGUCUAACAUAUGUGCAAGUCAUUGGGUAUUUUUAAUAAAACCCAAUGGCAUAAUUAACUUAACUGUUUUUUAAAUGGGAUUAGUUUAUAUUUUAUUAUGAAAUAUUAAUUCAAUCCCGGGGCGUUCUAUACAGUUAUGCAUAAUGAUAUUUAUAUUAUUUAUGUCUCUAACUAGAGCGUACCUUGAGCAUAUAUGCUGU
rnacentral:rRNA from 1 species